rnacentral:lncRNA from 1 species
GGUGUCUUGGUGGUUUGGCGUUUGAGGCUUGCUGGUGAGGUGACUGGGAGAAGUUCUUAGCAUGCUUGAGAGCAGAACAACGUGAACCUGCAGAGAUCUGGAAGUUAUCACCUCUGCUUCACUCAGAAGUCAUCUUAGCAUGCUUGAUCUAGCUUGCCUUCUUCCCUUAUCCAAAAAGCCAUCCCUUAUAAAAGAGAUGAAGAAACAAGAGCUUCCUCAGUGACCGGAAGGGUGCUUGACGCUCAGAUGGUGGCCAAGAGGGGAUGUCCCCCUGCUGGGCGUCACCUACGAAUUAUGCGAUUUGGAUAGAAUCAUCCUCGAUUAAAUUGGCUUUUGAGAGGGACCACUAUGAAGUACGGGAGAGGUUCAUUGAAAAGAGGAGGAAGAGGAAGGAAAGCGGCGAAGCCAGAACCACCUUCUGCACUGACGAGCACAGUAAGAUUCCAGUACAUUCACGGGCCAUAACUUGGGCAUCUACAUUGUUUCUGUGUCUUUACUACCACAAGAGUUCCAGUAAAUAUUUUCACUUCUCCACAGCCUUCCUUUUGAACUUUAACCUUCUUGGAACAUAUGCCUAGCAAUGGGAUCUCUGGAUCAGAGGGGAUGGACAUCUUAGUCUCUUCAUUAUGGCAUAAAUCUAAAUUGCUUUCUGAACAUGAGCUUGGACAGACUUCAGGAGAUAGCAGAGGAUGGAUACGAGGAGCUGGCGUGCUGUCAUCCAUGGAGUCACAAAGAGUCGGCCAUGACUGAAUAACAACAACAUUGUUUUCCAGAAUGGUUGGGCUAGUUCACCAUUCGAUUCAAAGGACUUUCUAGAACUUUUCUAGCAUUCAAUAUGUCCAUUUCGGUCACCCUUGCUGAUUUGUAGAAUCUCAGAACUGUUUUGAUUUCCAUUGUAAAAGGAGAUGACAUGUAAUGCACUUAGCACAGUGCCUGACAUGUCGUCAGUGUUUAAUAAACGCUUAUU